CUCGGAUAUUGAUAAAAAUUAUUUUUUACAGGUAGAGUUUGCUACUUUUUCUUACUAUACUCGAUCCAUUGUUGUCGUGGAUGAUGUUAGGAUCGUGGAUGGUAGAUGUUCAGAUAUGAAGCCUAUUACAAGUCCAUCUACUACUACUACUUCUGAAUUUACUACAACAAGUACUCCAGAUCCCUUUACCAGUACUUUGUCUACGACGGAAAGUACUCCGAUUCUCUUUACCAGUAAUUUGUCCGCAACAGAAAGUACUCCGGAUCUCUUUACCAGUACUGUGUCUACGAAAGAAAGUACUUCAACUAUUGGUUCGAUUGACGAAGAGAAAACUGGAAAGACUAUGUUCACCAGAGAAGAUUAAAAUACAAAGCCUUCUUUCACGACUAAAGGAACUUCUCUUGAAGAACUAACUACUAGCAAAGACAGUACAAGUCCAUCGAUAUCCACAUUUCAAUUAACAAGUACUUCAAAGCAAGUUACCAGUAACAAGAUUUCAACUCAAAGUACUUCAGCAAUUAGUACGAGUGACAUCGAAAACAUUGGAACAUCGAUCAUCACCAAGGAUGACAAAAAUGAAAAACCCACGACAAUGGCUUCGAUUAUUGAACCAACAACCAAAAAUCAGACGCUUGUGUUUAUUUUUGUUUGCUUUCUGGGAGCUACUUUUUUCAUUGUUCUUGCUGGAGUCGCCUUAUCUGCAGUAACGUAUAAAAGGU